rnacentral:rRNA from 2 species
GAGUUUGAUCCUGGCUCAGGACGAACGCUGGCGGCGUGCUUAACACAUGCAAGUCGAGCGAUGAAGCUUCCUUCGGGAAGUGGAUUAGCGGCGGACGGGUGAGUAACACGUGGGUAACCUGCCUCAAAGUGGGGGAUAGCCUUCCGAAAGGAAGAUUAAUACCGCAUAAUAUAAGAGAAUCGCAUGAUUUUCUUAUCAAAGAUUUAUUGCUUUGAGAUGGACCCGCGGCGCAUUAGCUAGUUGGUAAGGUAACGGCUUACCAAGGCAACGAUGCGUAGCCGACCUGAGAGGGUGAUCGGCCACAUUGGAACUGAGACACGGUCCAGACUCCUACGGGAGGCAGCAGUGGGGAAUAUUGCGCAAUGGGGGAAACCCUGACGCAGCAACGCCGCGUGGGUGAUGAAGGUCUUCGGAUUGUAAAGCCCUGUUUUCUAGGACGAUAAUGACGGUACUAGAGGAGGAAGCCACGGCUAACUACGUGCCAGCAGCCGCGGUAAUACGUAGGUGGCGAGCGUUGUCCGGAUUUACUGGGCGUAAAGGGUGCGUAGGCGGAUGUUUAAGUGGGAUGUGAAAUCCCCGGGCUUAACCUGGGGGCUGCAUUCCAAACUGGAUAUCUAGAGUGCAGGAGAGGAAAGCGGAAUUCCUAGUGUAGCGGUGAAAUGCGUAGAGAUUAGGAAGAACACCAGUGGCGAAGGCGGCUUUCUGGACUGUAACUGACGCUGAGGCACGAAAGCGUGGGUAGCAAACAGGAUUAGAUACCCUGGUAGUCCACGCCGUAAACGAUGGAUACUAGGUGUAGGGGGUAUCAACUCCCCCUGUGCCGCAGUUAACACAAUAAGUAUCCCGCCUGGGGAGUACGGUCGCAAGAUUAAAACUCAAAGGAAUUGACGGGGGCCCGCACAAGCAGCGGAGCAUGUGGUUUAAUUCGAAGCAACGCGAAGAACCUUACCUGGACUUGACAUCCCUUGCAUAGCCUAGAGAUAGGUGAAGCCCUUCGGGGCAAGGAGACAGGUGGUGCAUGGUUGUCGUCAGCUCGUGUCGUGAGAUGUUAGGUUAAGUCCUGCAACGAGCGCAACCCUUGUUAUUAGUUGCUACCAUUAAGUUGAGCACUCUAAUGAGACUGCCUGGGUAACCAGGAGGAAGGUGGGGAUGACGUCAAAUCAUCAUGCCCCUUAUGUCCAGGGCUACACACGUGCUACAAUGGUAGGUACAAUAAGACGCAAGACCGUGAGGUGGAGCAAAACUUAUAAAACCUAUCUCAGUUCGGAUUGUAGGCUGCAACUCGCCUACAUGAAGCUGGAGUUGCUAGUAAUCGCGAAUCAGAAUGUCGCGGUGAAUACGUUCCCGGGCCUUGUACACACCGCCCGUCACACCAUGAGAGCUGGUAACACCCGAAGUCCGUGAGGUAACCGUAAGGAACCAGCGGCCGAAGGUGGGAUUAGUGAUUGGGGUGAAGUCGUAACAAGGUAGCCGUAGGAGAACCUGCGGCUGGAUCACC